UUCCUCCUAUCUUGGCGCUUCCACUGGUGAAUGUGGCUGUGUAUGUUAUAGGAGAAAAAGUAGUGUCUUCUGGACUUUCGGAUCUCCUUCGGUGUUUGUCUUGCAUCUCGACAAAUGUCAUCCUCUGGGUUCGAGACAUUC
rfam:Caenorhabditis briggsae complete genome, chrI